CUCCUAUAUUCCUACCUGGAGAGUCCCCAUGGGCAGAGGAGCCCAGUAGGCUAUAGGCCACGGGGUCGCAGAGAGCAGGACAUGACUGAGCACACGCGUACAUAAGUGGCUCACUGUGCUUAUCAUUCUGACACUUUAUUUCUUAUUUAAUGUUUCUUUUCCAGGAUCUGUGUGUGACCUUGAAAGGAUCGGAUACAUCCAUCCUAAGUGCUUUAGGAUCACAUGAACCUAUUACAACAUACCAACGUUCCCAUACAUAAUGGCCUUUCAGGCAUCUGUCUCUCACUGGCUGGGCUUCCUCACUUCCUGUCUCCAAAAGCACAGCCAGGUUUUACCCCGAACCUUGUCAUCCUCAAUCCCUGCGAAGCAGAAGGUGCUGCAAGCUCCAGCGCCCACAUGUGUCAGAGGAAGCAGGGACCUUCUGAAACCAUGCCUCCCCACCCCAUCCCCCACUGACCUGCAGCUAGCACUCCCCAGGCACCCACGUGCUCCAGCCACCAGCUCGGGCCUGGCUGUGGCAGCCACCCCAGGGCGCUCACCCGCAUCACACUGUCCACGGUGAAGCCCGCACCCUCUGUGCCCAGGUCCCGCAGCAGUCGCGCCAGCAGUGCCAUCUGGCUCAUGGCCAGGUGAGUUGAGGAGUUGGCUUUCAGCGGCUGGACCAGGUAAGAUGGGAUGACCUGGAGAGACUUCACUUCCUUAAACAAGGCUAUCUCCUAGAGAGACCAACAGCACCUGCUAAAUUUUACUGGAAAAUGCGAGUGGUAACUUAUUGCUAGCCGCAAAGUAAACACUGAGGGAAAAAAAUGGGAAAUAAAAAAUGACAGUGACAAAUGACAGUAAAGUCAUUCGUCCGUAAGCUCCUAUUUCUUUUUAAGAUAUGAUAACAAUUAAGAACAAAAGCCUGAAUCAUCAGAAAUAAGAAUCAUGAUCACUUAGAGAUGAAUUAAAGCUUUACAGAAAGUGUGAUUAAAACCUUAGUUUCCCUUCUUAGGAUCUCACAACCUUAAGAAAAAGAUUUUCUGAUUUCUAAAAUUCUAAAAGAAAUUAAGUCUUGCUGUAAGAACCUCCAUUUCAGUAUUUUUAAAUUUUAACCAAGCGUGUAACAGGCACAUACCCAGAUGAACUGAUCCCUGAUGGGUUGAGAUGAAAGAGGGUAAGUGCCUCCACACGCUCUACUGUCUCCACACAAGUCUUUCUAUAAUUAAGAUAUUCAUCACUUAACUAGCCAGAUGCAAGGAAAGAAAAAGUGAUAAAAUAUUAAAGGAAAAGACUCAAGAAAUGAUAAAAUAUUGAUGAAACAUGAGCUGUGACAGAAGUCUGUUUUUUGCAGGUCUGUGGCCACACCACCCAAACACCUUCUCAUUCUGGCAGCACCGUGGCUCUGCCUCUGGGCCCACGAGUGGCUGGAAACCAAUGGGAAGGAGGAGGAGGGAGGGGAGCCCCCGAGAGCAGCAGGGGGCUGCUGGGACACAUAGAUGCCGCGCACACAGGGACCCACAUGGGCCGUCGGAAGCUGGUGCAGUAUGGGAACGCCUGCACGCAGAGGACGCUCAGCAUCACUGCUGUCCCAGAGAAAGCCAGCCUGCUCAUGGCACUGGGUUCACGUUUGGAGGAGGUCACAGACACCCUGCACCUUAACCUGAGGUCUCCUGGCCCAGAUGGAUUCCUGACAAGAGGGCAAAGCACUCUCCUGUGCUGCCUGGCUCAGCGUGGGCCCCAGACUCCCAGCUGCUCACGUCUGCCUCGGCUCCCCCAGUGCCCAGGCGAGAGGAGGCGUGUUGGUGGAAAGAAUAAAAACACUUCAUCAAGACUGUGACCUGUUUAUUAUUUUUUAAACUCCAUUUUUCUAUCCUGGUCUGGCUCUCCAUAUAUUUUAUUUAUCAAAAAAUUAAAAGCCUAUGUUAAAGAAGAGAAACAAAGAAAAACUGUACACUGUAGCCAAGUUUAAGGCAGCAUUUCUCUGGGUCAGAGGAGAAGGAAGUUAUGACGAUGAAUCACGCGGCAUAACCUAUGACUGGCUUGAACAGAUGGGACCUUGUAAGGUACUAUACUAAGAAAGCCAAGUAUCUCCGGUUAUGUGUUUAUUAUCGAUGGCUUCAAACAUCCCGGGGAAA